UACGGAGGGUGCGAGCGUUGUCCGGAAUCAUUGGGCGUAAAGGGCGCGUAGGUGGCGGGACAAGCGUGCGGUGAAAGCUCGGGGCUCAACCCCGAGUCGGCCGUGCGAACUGUCUUGCUUGAGCACUGUAGAGGCAGGCGGAAUUCCGGGUGUAGCGGUGAAAUGCGCAGAUAUCGGGAGGAACACCGGUGGCGAAGGCGGUUCUCUGGGCCUUACCUGACGCUGAGGAGCGAAAGCGUGGGGAGCGAACAGG
rnacentral:rRNA from 1 species